rnacentral:rRNA from 1 species
GAUGAACGCUAGCUACAGGCUUAACACAUGCAAGUCGAGGGGUAACGAGAGGGAAGCUUGCUUUCCUUGUCGACGACCGGCGCACGGGUGAGUAACGCGUAUCCAACCUGCCCCCAACUAGGGAAUAACCUUGCGAAAGUAGACUAAUACCCUAUAAUUUCCUCAGAUGUCAUCUGACGAGGAAUAAAGAUUUAUCGGUUGUGGAUGGGGAUGCGUCUGAUUAGCUUGUUGGCGGGGUAACGGCCCACCAAGGCAACGAUCAGUAGGGGUUCUGAGAGGAAGGUCCCCCUCAUUGGAACUGAGACACGGUCCAAACUCCUACGGGAGGCAGCAGUGAGGAAUAUUGGUCAAUGGGCGGAAGCCUGAACCAGCCAAGUAGCGUGCAGGAUGACGGCCCUAUGGGUUGUAAACUGCUUUUAUACAGGAAUAAAGUUAGCCACGUGUGGUUAUUUGUAGGUACUGUAUGAAUAAGGACCGGCUAAUUCCGUGCCAGCCGCCGCAGUAA